CCUGUUAGCCAGGUAUCAUGUCAGCCUGUUAGCCAGGUAUCAUGUCAGCCUGUUAACCAGGUAUCAUGUCAGCCUGUUAGCCAGGUAUCCUGUUAGCCAGGUAUCAUGUCAGCCUGUUAGCCAGGUAGCCUGUUAGCCAGAUGUCAUGUCAGCCUGUUAGCCAGGUAUCAUGUCAGCCUGUUAGCCAGGUAUCAUGUCAGCCUGUUAGCCAGGUAGCCUGUUAGCCAGAUGUCAUGUCAGCCUGUUAGCCAGGUAUCAUGUCAGCCUGUUAGCCAAGUAUCCUGUUAGCCAGGUAUCAUGUCAGCCUGGUAGCAAAGUACCCUGUUAGCCAGGUAUCAUGUCAGCCUGUUAGCCAGGUAUCAUGUUAGCCAGGUAUCAUGUCAGCCUGUUAGCCAAGUAUCCUGUUAACCAGGUAUCAUGUCUGCCUGUUAGCCAGGUAUCAUGUCAGCCUGUUAGCCAGGUAUCAUGUCAGCCUGUUAGCCAACGUCUCCUCCUCCUGGUUCUACCUCCUGAGCUGUCAUGUGUCCU